UACGUAGGCAGCGAGCGUUGUUCGGAGUUACUGGGCGUAAAGGGUGUGUAGGCGGUUCUUUAAGUUUGGUGUGAAAUCUCCCGGCUCAACCGGGAGGGUGCGCCGAAUACUGAGGGACUCGAGUGCGGGAGAGGAAAGUGGAAUUCCUGGUGUAGCGGUGAAAUGCGUAGAUAUCAGGAGGAACACCUGUGGUGUAGACGGCUCUCUGGACCGCAACUGACGCUGAGACACGAAAGCGUGGGUAGCAAACAGG
rnacentral:rRNA from 1 species